rnacentral:piRNA from 1 species
UAUUUCCUGCCAAUGUUGCUCACUCGGU